UCAAGUAAUCUGCCUGCUUUAGCCUACCAAAUUGCUGAGACUAUAGGUGUACCCGUUGCACCCAGCCCUCAUAUAUAUUUUUAAUGCUGAAUUAAAUCAGCAGUUCUGAAAAACAGUCUUUCAUAAAACUAUUUCCUCCUUGAGAUUUAACCUGUUUCUAUUCAUCUUUUGCCAAGUCAAGAUUCAAAACAUUGGCAUCCUUUUGGACUCCUUACUUCCCUUCAAUCGCUAUUUUCUAUACCCACAUCAUAUUAGCUACCCGUUCCUAUGGAUUAUUUCCUUAUCAUCUCUUUUUAUAUGCUUCUUAUUUUGAGAUUCCCAUUCCCAUUACUCUGGCUAGAUCUCUAGUUCGUGUUCAAACAAUAACCUCUUGAGAGCUUUGCUAGCCUUUAGGUUUUCAUUUAUAAUUUCAGCCUGUAUAUUUGUUUGGCCCAAAACAUUACUUCCCCCUCUCAAAAGUGUUUGACACUUGUCUACCAAGUUUUUGUAAGUUUUCCCAUAUCCAAUUUAUAGAUUUUUUUUUGUAUGAAUUCCAUAUUUUAAGCAGUGGUUAGCUUUGCUUUUCCUUGGAGGUGUCAUUGCCUUCUUUCUUCUACUCUGGUUAUUUCUGCAGCUUACUGGAACUCACUUCUUCACAGUCUCACCUCUCAGAAUCCUAAGGUUCAGCAUUGUCUCAAAGUAUUUCUGUAAGUUAUUUUACUGCUUCCGACAAUAUUUUUAUGCUGUACCAAACACCUUAGCAUAUGGUGUGAACUAGAAAGUUGAUUGUUGAAAGGGGAAUGUUUAAAAACAAGACAUCUGACCAUCCAUUGUUAAAGGUAGCUCUGCCUUCAUGCUGGCAGCCUAUCUGAAUCCUCAGAAAGUUUCAUGGUGUGUAAAAAUCUGGGAGAAGAAGCACUCUUUGAGAAUCUUGUAUCUACCCAUUAGCAAAAUUAUUUAUAGGCAUGGUUUGCACUUAGAGCGUCUUUCAUUUUACAUAAAAUGCAUUUCUUUCUUUAUGAGAUUUUGUAUUUUAACAAGUCUCCCAGAUACACUCUUUUUGACAUCUAAUCUUGGAUUCAUACCCAAUUUAGGAUAUGAAACCAACUCCCUACAAAUCUUAAUUAUCUUAUAAGCACUUUGAGUGCUCCUGAGUAUGCAAAGCAUAUAUUAUUGACUUUUCACCCAAGUUCCUUCUUGAGAAAAAGCUGGGGCAGCUAUAGAUGUUUUUACUUAACAGAUUGCUAAAUAACAAGUGAUGGAUUGUUACUAGCUGAAAACACGAGAUAGAACACGCAUCUAAGACAACCAAAAGGGAGAGAUUUUUCCAAACAGAAGUGCUGUUUUACUCCCUUAACGUUUAUUCUUAUGUUGUAUUUUGUUUUGCAAACAGACAAAAGCACCAGCGGAGCUCAGGAAGGUUUUGUGUUGUGCCCAAGGUUGGGGCCAGAAUUUGAAAGGGAUCAGUGAAUCAGAUGUAAUAUGGGCUCUGUUUGAGCCACCCAGUCUCUGUUUUGCUGACGGUCAGUAUUCCAGUUAUAAAAAGCUGCAUCGGCAUUUCCGUCAGCUCAAAAGAAGUUUAUCCCUGCUUUCAUUCUGACAUACCUAUGAUGGCUUUGUUCACUAAGCAGAAGGAAUUAUGGGAAAUGGAAACUCGAUGGCAUGUUUUGAUUAAGGCGUUAUGUGUGUAUCUUCACUGAGAAAUUAAAGAACCAAGCAGAAUUGUAUGUUUUCCUUUCAGUGCCUACCUUGUAAUGAGACAUACAUAUUCGGCAUGGAACGGAAAAAGACAAGAGACUCCCAUGCAGCUGUGAUAAGGACCUUUAUACAAUGGAAAACAUGAUUAAUAUAUCUUUAAAUUUUAAUGCCGAAGUUUCUGUCUUCGUAAGUCUCUCAUUUAUUGUAAGUGGAAUUAAGCUGUAUUUAGUUGUCUAAUAAAUGUGAUUGGUAUUACAUACAUCUCCUCUUUUGUAUCUACUCUGAGCUUAGUAAAUUUUCCUAAAAAUAAAGUUAAACAAGAUGAAUAUGAGUCGUCCUUAAAUGAGAGGUCUGUGUUAACAUAAAGAAACUUUGAAAGUCUGAAAAAUGAAGGUUAACCUCAUUCAUUUUGUAAAAAUUCACCAAACAUCAAGGGCUUUGAAAACACCUAGAAAAACAAUAAGAUAUGCAGCAAAGUUGCCUGUUUUAAAUUCUAAACUGUAGUCCGUGAAAAGAGUUAUCAAAAGGUAGUACGUGUAUGUAAAAUAGGCUAGUGAAGCAAAUGACUCUGAACCUGAGAGAAAGAAUGCUACUCACUGGAAACCCACACUUGGGGUGGAAUGUCUGUGGAUGGCCAUUAUGAUAAGAAAACUGAAUAGAGAAUGAGUUUAUUUUGUUA